GACGAACGCUGGCGGCGUGCUUAACACAUGCAAGUCGAACGGCAGCGCGGGGCAACCUGGCGGCGAGUGGCGAACGGGUGAGUAAUAUAUCGGAACGUGCCCUGGAGUGGGGGAUAACGCAGCGAAAGUUGCGCUAAUACCGCAUACGAUCUAAGGAUGAAAGCGGGGGAUUCGCAAGAACCUCGUGCUCCUGGAGCGGCCGAUAUCUGAUUAGCUAGUGGUGGGGUAAGGCCUACCAAGGCAUCGAUCAGUAGCUGGUCUGAGAGGACGACCAGCCACACUGGAACUGAGACACGGUCCAGACUCCUACGGGAGGCAGCAGUGGGAAUUUUGGACAAUGGGCGAAAGCCUGAUCCAGCAAUGCCGCGUGAGUGAAGAAGGCCUUCGGUUGUAAGU
rnacentral:rRNA from 1 species